UAAGGAAUCUUUCACAAUGGGCGAAAGCCUGAUGGAGCAACGCCGCGUGCAGGAUGAAGGCCUUCGGGUCGUAAACUGCUUUUAUUUGGGAAGAUUAUGACGGUACCAAAUGAAUAAGGGCCGGCUAACUACGUGCCAGCAGCCGCGGUAAUACGUAGGGCCCAAGCGCUAUCCGGAAUCACUGGGCGUAAAGCGUGCGUAGGCGGAUGCUUAAGUGAGAUGCGAAAUUCUGUGGCUCAACCAUAUGAACUGUAUCUCAUACUGGGUGUCUUGAGGACGGCAGAGGCAAGUGGAAUUACCGGUGUAGGAGUGAAAUCCGUAGAGAUCGGUAGGAACACCAAUGGCGAAGGCAGCUUGCUGGGCCGUUUCUGACGCUAAGGCACGAAAGCGUGGGGAGCGAACAGG
rnacentral:rRNA from 1 species